UAGUAGUUUGAUGGAUCGAAAGAUGAAGGACGAGAAGUUGGAUGGAAAUCUGGUAAAAGGAUUCGGCAUGUUGCGUAGGGAUAAUCAACCACGGAGGGCGAAGAGAUUGUCCUUAUCCUCACAAGGCUAAAAGAGGAGAUAGUGCUUCUGAAUUAAUUCAGAGGGGCGUCGUGAAACACGUUUAGUGGCUCGUCUGUAACUCCCAAGUAUGCGGGGCGAGGAGGAUAAAGCGCAUACCUACA
rnacentral:ncRNA from 1 species